UACGAAGGGGGCUAGCGUUGCUCGGAAUCACUGGGCGUAAAGGGUGUGUAGGCGGGCUGUUAAGUCAGUGGUGAAAUCUCCGGGCUCAACCCGGAAACUGCCAUUGAUACUAUCAGUCUUGAAUUCUGUUGAGGUGGGCGGAAUAUGUCAUGUAGCGGUGAAAUGCAUAGAUAUGACAUAGAACACCAAUUGCGAAGGCAGCUCACUAAGCAGCGAUUGACGCUGAGGCACGAAAGCGUGGGGAUCAAACAGG
rnacentral:rRNA from 1 species